rnacentral:misc_RNA from 1 species
AGAUGAACCAAGCCGUUGCGAGUACGUGGCAUUGUUAUCAACCCCAGCUGCUUGUGUAGAGGAAAAGCUUCAGGAACUGAAACACAAGUUGGACAUGCUGAGUAAAGAAGAGGCAGAGAAGCAUGAUGAACUUUGAACUUCACAGACUGAAUUUUCUUCAGAAUACAACGGGUAGGAAGAGUGCCCGGUUGAGUUAGAUUAUCGUUCUACUUGUGGUGGCAGUUGGUGUUAUUCGAGAGAUUGGAUGAAAAGAUUGAAAUAGUUUUUCUUCCAGCCUAGAGGAAAGUUUAUCUAAAUUAGAGGGUGUAUUUCUGUUAUGGGUCGUGGGAAUGAAACCACGCUCCUAUUU